UUAAGAGGAGACGGUCCCGCUUUCACCCGCACCGCCUAGGCUGGAGCACCCUGGCCUUGCCUGCUCCCACCGCACGGCGGCUCUCUCCUCCGCCGACCCCGCCCUGGCACCGCCUCUUGGGACCAGCGACGCGCCAAGCCCUGCUGGUCCAUCGCGGUCCAGGGCUGUCAGCUACCCGCCAGACUUUAAGCUCUGUGAUAAUGGCAAUGUCGUUCAAUAUCAACGUUGUUCAUUUCUACGUGCCUAAUACUUGACACCUCCUACAUACUCAAUAUCUGCUAGUUUUGCUUCCAGAAGUGAGAAAGGCACAGAAACUUAAAAAUGGAACUCUACAUUAGAUUCUGUUUUCUGACUCUUGAGUGUCACCAAGGAUCUAUCACUACUCACCAAGUGUGGAUCCCAAGAUGAGUAGUAACUCUCUUAAACUUUCUCCUGUCCAUAAUAGGAAUGCACAUAAUUUUGUCAACUUGGAAAAAAAAGUAAGGAAAAAAUUGGAGAUGGUAAUAAUUUUAAAAAAUACCCUUCAGCUAAAAAAUACUUUUUAAUGUAGAUUCAAAUACAGACAAAAUCUAUAGCCUGAAUCCAUUCAUGAAUUUCAUGAAUGAGCACUUUAAAAAGUUGACUACUUACAGAAGAAUAAAUAUAAAUUUUGAAUUUCCUGUGCAGUCCAUGAGAUUUUGUUUUCUUUACUCAAAUUAGUAAGUACAUUAAGGUUCUGUGCAUCUGUGUUAAGACCAUUGGUCCUACCAAGCUGGGACUCAGGCUCUAUCAAGUGUCCAUAAUGCUUUUUUUUAAACUUAAAUAUGAACAUUUUUUCACUUUAUUUGCAUAGUUAGAUUUACUAGUUGUCUAACAAUGAUGGGAUGGUUAAGGGUUUUACAGUCUCCAGUGAAAUAUUGGGCAAUCACUAAUGUCAUGGCUAUAAAGGGCCUAAUUACAAAGUUAUUAUCUAGUAUGAUUACAUAAAGUUAUGAUUAUAUUCCAGGAAAUAACAUGACACAAUGUUUUGUCAUGGCUUAAAACAAAAGGGCAUGCCGAACUAUAGACACAGGAUCAUUUCAAUCACAUAAAAAUUAGAAGGGAGCCGGGCGGUGGUGGCGCACGCCUUUAAUCCCAGCACUCGGGAGGCAGAGCCAGGCGGAUCUCUGUGAGUUCGAGGCCAGCCUGGGCUACCAAGUGAGUCCCAGGAAAGGCGCAAAGCUACACAGAGAAACCCUGUCUCGAA